AGAGUUUGAUCCUGGCUCAGGAUGAACGCUGGCGGCGUGCUAAUACAUGCAAGUCGAGCGGUAAGGCUUUCACAGAUUAUUUGACCAGAAAAGUCCUAGUAAUAGGAUACUCUCUGACCUACUCACAUUGGCUAAUGAUGAGUUGUCGAAUAAUGCGUGAAAGUACCGAGCGGCGGACGGCUGAGUAACGCGUAGGAACGUACCCCAAAGUGAGGGAUAAGCACCGGAAACGGUGUCUAAUACCGCAUGUGGUCUAAGGACUAAAGUCUUCGGACGCUUUGGGAGCGGCCUGCGUAAGAUUAGCUAGUUGGUGAGGUAAUAGCUCACCAAGGCGACGAUCUUUAGCUGGUCUGAGAGGAUGAUCAGCCAGACUGGGACUGAGACACGGCCCAGACUCCUACGGGAGGCAGCAGUAGGGAAUUUUCCACAAUGGGCGAAAGCCUGAUGGAGCAACGCCGCGUGCAGGAUGAAGGCCUUCGGGUCGUAAACUGCUUUUAUGAGUGAAGAUUAUGACAGUAGCUCAAGAAUAAGGGUCGGCUAACUACGUGCCAGCAGCCGCGGUCAUACGUAGGACCCAAGCGUUAUCCGGAAUCACUGGGCGUAAAGAGUUGCGUAGGUGGCUUGUAAAGCAGCGUGUGAAAGCGUACGGCUCAACCGUAUACACAUACACUGAACUCACAAGCUAGAGGAUGAGAGAGGUUAUUGGAAUUCCAAGUGUAGGAGUGAAAUCCGUAGAUAUUUGGAGGAACACCGAUGGCGUAGGCAGAUAACUGGCUCAUUUCUGACACUAAGGCACGAAAGCGUGGGGAGCAAACGGGAUUAGAUACCCUAGUAGUCC
rnacentral:rRNA from 1 species